UGUUCGUGACGGCGAGCUGUGUUCAGCUUGUUUUCUGCUCUGGGGUUAAACCAGUUAAACGCGGUCAGAUCAGCUUUAUAUAACAACUGUUCCUGGAUCAGAUUAAACCGGAUUAAACCAACGAGAGGCUCUUCUGAGAAACACGGUGUUAUCAGUAAUUCAUGUUCCUGACACCCGCCGCCUCUGCAGCUCGUCGGGCUCCGCUGGCAGCCUGCAGGUCGGCUCCAACGCUUCAACUAAAGAGAUUAGAAGUAAAACAGAAUGAAGUCUCUGCUGACGUGUCCAGUCGCUGCACACUGGCCGGAUGGACUCUGAUCAGAGCGCUCUGCUCCGCCUCUGUCCGAUGCUCGAGCUAAAACACUCUGCUGCGUUUGUGUGUCCUGAGUUUGGAAAACACUUCGGGCAGCAACAUUUGUUCUUUAACGGGCUACAGAAAUGAAGUUAAACAAACAGCACGACGGAAACAUAGGAGUCUGUUUUUUAUUUAUAUUCAGUCUGUAAAAAUAGAAUCAAUAUGUGAGAAACACCAGCAGAGUGACUGAUGGUCAGUGUUCAGUGGCAGCAGCAGGUGUAGCAGUAGUAGUAUUAGUAGAAGUGUCAGUAGAGCUUCAUGGAGGCAGCGAACAGCUGGCUCAGGUCGUCCUCGGUGUGUCCUCUGGGAGACAGUUUGGUCACUCGCUCCUGAAACGAAGAUGGUAAAUCUAAAACUCCAGAUCCCUUCAGAUCCUCUUAAAACACAUUCGUCUGAAAAGAGUUGAGCUGCCGCCUUAAAGGAAGUUUCAUUUACCAAGUCAGGAGGAAACCAAUGAAUCGAUCAUGAUAUAUACAGUUUGAGAGGAACGCCCAGUCCUGAGGCCUCCAGGCUCCUGUUCAGUUAGAGGCAUCACUUCUGUACUUUUAAACCUGAGCAGCAGAUUCUUCAGCCGGCAUUAAAGACACCUUGAUCAAUUAUAACUGCAUUAAUUUAACCAAUAACCUGGAUUUUAAGGUGUUUUAAGUUAAAUCUCUUUAAAAUAAAUGAACGGAGAGAUCAGCUGGAGGCAGAAAGGGACGGAUUCAGUUUGUUUCUGAGGACUAACGGAGAAACGACCCGUCAGGUAGGUGAAACUCACCUGAGGGAGGGUUCCUCUCACCAGAGCCGGGAUGUCGUCUGGACCGUAUCCCAGCGCUCCAAGUCCGUCCUCCACCUGCAGCUCAAACAGGAAGCGACGCAGCGUGUCGGCCAGGAGAGCGCCCGCAUCCUCCCUCUUCACCUGCCGAACGUCUGCACCUGAACGCAGCACAGGUGUGCAUCAGGCGAACAGGUACCGAGGAUCUCUGCAGCCUCCAGGUGGCGCUCUGGACACAUCGGGGCUGUGAAGCUGAAGACGGCCGGAGACGUGAGGACCACCGAGAGACCGUGAGGCUGAGGACACACAAAAUGAACGCCGGCGUUUCCGAAGCCGAUGCCAGCGAACACACUGGCCAGGUGCAUGCUGGACCGGGCCUCCAGAUCCUCCGGGUCCCGCACUGCUCUGUGAUCAAUCAAUCAAUCAAACAUCCUGUUAAUAAGAAUCAUGAUGCCAAAGAUUUGUGUUUCAUAAACUUCACCUGUUGGUUUUGUUUUUUACAUUUGAAUCUUUCACUUAAUUUUAUUAGAUUUUUUAUUUAAGUUAUAUUUUAAGUUCUUUUUAACAACAUUUUGUUUUUAAUGAUCGUUCAAUAAA